rnacentral:piRNA from 3 species
AAUUUUCAUGAACAAUCCAAGCAUAA